rnacentral:tRNA from 1 species
GCACUCGUAGCUCAACUGAAUAGAGCAUCUGACUACGGAUCAGAAGGUUUGGGGUUUGAAUCCCUACGAGUGCACGA